GUGAGUCAUCGAAUCUUUGAACGCACAUUGCGCCCGCCAGUAUUCUGGCGGGCAUGCCUGUCCGAGCGUCAUUUCAACCCUCGAACCCCUCCGGGGGGUCGGCGUUGGGGAUCGGCCCUUCACGGGGCCGGCCCCGAAAUACAGUGGCGGUCUCGCCGCAGCCUCUCCUGCGCAGUAGUUUGCACACUCGCAUCGGGAGCGCGGCGCGUCCAUUGCCGUAAAACACCCAACUUUCUGAAAUGUUGACCUCGGAUCAGGUAGGAAUACCCGCUGAACUUAAGCAUAUCAAUAAGCGGAGGA
rnacentral:misc_RNA from 1 species